GGGAGGGGUGCGAGCGUUAAUCGGAAUUACUGGGCGUAAAGCGCGCGUAGGCGGCUUGGUCAGUCGGGAUGUGAAAGCCCCGGGCUUAACCUGGGAAUUGCAUUCGAUACUGCCCAGACUAGAGUAUGGGAGAGGGAAGCGGAAUUUCCGGUGUAGCGGUGAAAUGCGUAGAUAUCGGAAGGAACACCAGUGGCGAAGGCGGCUUCCUGGCCCAAUACUGACGCUGAGGUGCGAAAGCGUGGGGAGCGAACAGGAUUAGAUACCCUGGUAGUCCACGCCGUAAACGAUGAGAACUAGAUGUCGGGAGGAUUUGCCUCUCGGUGUCGCAGCUAACGCGUUAAGUUCUCCGCCUGGGGAGUACGCCGGCAACGGUA
rnacentral:rRNA from 1 species